GACGAACGCUGGCGGCGUGCCUAAUACAUGCAAGUUGAGCGCUGAAGGUUGGUACUUGUACCAACUGGAUGAGCAGCGAACGGGUGAGUAACGCGUGGGGAAUCUGCCUUUGAGCGGGGGACAACAUUUGGAAACGAAUGCUAAUACCGCAUAAAAACUUUAAACACAAGUUUUAAGUUUGAAAGAUGCAAUUGCAUCACUCAAAGAUGAUCCCGCGUUGUAUUAGCUAGUUGGUGAGGUAAAGGCUCACCAAGGCGAUGAUACAUAGCCGACCUGAGAGGGUGAGCGGCCACAUUGGGACUGAGACACGGCCCAAACUUCUACGGGAGGCAGCAGUAGGGAAUCUUCGGCAAUGGACGAAAGUCUGACCGAGCAACGCCGCGUGAGUGAAGAAGGGUUUCGGAUCGUAAAACUCUGUUGGUAGAGAAGAACGUUGGUGAGAGUGGAAAGCUCAUCAAGUGACGGUAACUACCCAGAAAGGGACGGCUAACUACGUG
rnacentral:rRNA from 1 species